rnacentral:lncRNA from 1 species
ACGGAGAUUUAGAUUUGUCAGACGCCCUUCUUGAGGAUGACAAGAAACCGACUCCUCCAACCCCCAAAAAACCCGGUGCUGACGAUGACUUCAAUUUGGAAGAUGCCCUUGGGGGUGGAGGAAGCAAUGACCCUGCGCCACCCGCCCCACCCAAGCCACGACCUCCUCCAAACCCCAACCAGCCUGGAUCUUCUGGUGGAUUUUCAGAUUCCGACCUCGUUGAUGGGGAUUCAGGUGGAGCAGGUGGUGGAGGUGGCGGUGGCCAUGGAGGCCAGGGUCACGGCAGCGGGGAGCAAGCCGACUCCCCCGGGGUGGUCCCCGGCAUCGUGGGGGCCGUCGUGGUCGCUGUGGCCGGAGCCAUCUCUAGCUUUAUUGCCUACCAGAAAAAGAAGUUGUGUUUCAAAGAGAAUGCCGAGCAAGGGGACGUCAACAUGGAAAACCAUCACAGCACCAACGCCGAGCCAGCCGUUCAGCGGACUCUUCUGGAGAAAUAGAAGCUGGGCGGGAAGAGCAGCUCUGACAUCCGCAGCGGCGUUCCCAGCCUUGCCUGCUGCCCCUGUCGGAAGACGGCCCUCGGGAGGGGAGGACAGAGCCGCCCCCGGGAGCCGGCCUGUCCCAUUCACACCUGCGCUCCAGUCGGAUGCUCUGUUUUAAUUUUGACAUGUGUGCACCCGUCUCCCUGCCGGGUAGAUGAUGUGGACUGACAAUGAGUUUUGCAUCCAGAGGGGACCUGCAUUUGCCUUCUCCAUGGCCCUUAGGGGUUUCCGGUGUCAUGUGCAAAGCCGGCCACCACAAAGUCAUUCGAAUAUCGACCCCACUGAAGUUCCCCUGAGGGGAAACUCUGGGCCGUUUGCAAAGUGCAUUGAACCCGCCUGAGACCUCCCUAACAUUGACCGUUUUAUAGAGUGAGGUAAGCCUUCUGUUAGUUUCCUCCAAAUUUCUUUCAUUGGUUAGGACUUUUUUUUUUUUUUUU